GGUCUUUAGAUUUUUAUUUAAGAUCAGGCCUGCCCAUUGAUUUGAAAAAUUAAAAGGCUGCGGUAUUUUAACUGUACGAAGGUAGCAUAAUCAUUUGUCUUUUAAUUGGAGGCUAGAAUGAAUGGUUUGAUGAGAAAUAAACUUUCUUUUUUUAAUUUAUAUUAAUUUAAUUUUUUAGUUAAAAAGCUAAAAUUUUUUUAUAGGACGAGAAGACCCUAUAGAAGUUUACUAUAUUAAUAAUUCUUUGUUUUUUGUUAUUAAAAUAUUUUUUUAAAUUAUAUAGUUUUGUUGGGGUGACAUUAAAAUUUAUUUAACUUUUAAUAUUUUUUUCAUUAAUUUAUGUUUUUUUGAUCCAAUAUUUAUUGAUUAAAAGUUUAACUUACCUUAGGGAUAACAGCGUAAUUUUUUCGGAGAGUUCAUAUCGAUGAAUAAAGUUUGCGA
rnacentral:rRNA from 1 species